UACGUAGGGUGCAAGCGUUGUCCGGAAUUAUUGGGCGUAAAGAGCUCGUAGGCGGUUUUGUCGCGUCGAAUGUGAAAACCCGGGGCUCAACCCCGGGCCUGCAUUCGAUACGGGCAGACUAGAGUUCGGUAGGGGAGUCUGGAAUUCCUGGUGUAGCGGUGAAAUGCGCAGAUAUCAGGAGGAACACCGGUGGCGAAGGCGGCUCUCUGGACCGAGACUGACGCUGAGGCGCGAAAGCGUGGGGAGCAAACAGG
rnacentral:rRNA from 1 species